CUACCAAAGUUUUGCUAGCACAAGUGUAUGCUAGCAACUUAUGAAAUUUUCCUGCACAAAAUGAAAACAGAUCAAAAUAUUUUUUUGCGAGCACCCCAACCGUCGUGGCAUAUAUGCUAGCAAAUGGUGCUCGAAACAAUACUACUAGUCGAAUUUUCUUCAAGUGCUCGCAAAAUUCUUUUGCUGCUAGUAACAACCCCUUAAUUCUUUUCUUGCCUCGAUUUGCGAGCUCGCGGAAAAACUUAGUUCCCGCUUAUUUUGAAUCAGUUCUCGGCGCUGUUAUCACAAAACCCCUAAUUCUCAAUUUUCUCUGAUCAAUCCUUCCUUGCUCUGCCAACCGCCACCGUUCAAUUCAAGCUGCUCCGCCACAAAUCCUCCGCCACCAGCCAGUUUCUCUCUCAAAUUGAGGAACAUUCUCUACAAAGUGCCUUCAUCGUCAAGCUACACGAGUAUUUACUUACAAUUGCAUUUAGGGAUUUUAAAUUUGCUAAAACAAUGAAUGACUAUUUUCCUAAUCGGCGUUGUUUUUUAAUCUUACACUGCAUUAUGUUUAAUUUGUGAUUCUCAUUUAUUCGAUCGUGUAUCCUUCUCCUGCUAUUAAUAACAUUAGGAAAUUUGUUUAGUAGCAAAUAAAAUCCGUUGUGUGUAGUGUUGAUUGUUGUGCGUGUGCUAAAAUGAAACCGCUUCCGUAGAUUUCUUAGAAAUUCAGUUGAUUUUUCGUUGAUUGAUUUUUCGUAGCUGCAACCACCAUAUUGUUUCACUGUGGCUCAGAUGGAAAAUGCAUCUUAUAGAGGAAAUUUAGGCAUCUUAAGAACUUCUCACAAACCUGUUUGAGAUUCUGUUUUUUCUUUCUACAAAAGCAGGAUAGAACGUAGUGAAUUGUAUCUGUCAAAUUUCUGACUGCUACUUUGCUCAAUGUGGUAAGGUGUACUGUUCUUAUCUCUAUCAUUUGAUUAUAUUUUAUAAGCCUGUAGCAAGGGAGAGCAUUCAACUGCUUUAGCAACUGCUACUGAUGCUACAAUACAGGAGCUGGAGAUAAAUAAUGAGAGAGAUUGUGGGGACUCUCUCUUCCCAUUUCUCUCAAGCAGGGAGAAGAGCUCAGAAAGCAAAUUACCGCAGUUACCUUAUAUCUAGUGAAGACGCAACAGGAGCAAGUUAUGACGAAGGCGUAUGGUUUACGGGCUAAUGGGGUAGAAGACCCAAAUUAUGAUGUCUUUUACGUUGAGUUUUUUGGGAAGAUAAAGAAGAGAGUAAAUUACUGUAGCCGGUCAGGCAACGAGCAUUUACUGGUCGCAGUUUUCGAGUAUGCAUGUAGCGAGCAGAAAGGUGCUCGCAAUGGUCUUGUGCUCGCAAAAAGCGGUUGCAACUUUGCUACAAGCCUCAUACAGAGCACCUAUGGUGCUCGCAAAUGUGCUAGCAAAUUGGGUUUUGCGAGCAAAUGCAUACUCUUUUUGCGAGCAAAUGGGUGCUCGCAAACGAACGUCUUUUCUGUAAUGGUAUUUUAAUCCUUUUAGUUCAUUUGUCUAUUUUUUUUAUUUAUAUAGAUAUAGCUUUUUGAAUUGGGAGGCUAUCACCAAUUUUAUACGUACAUAUACAUACAAAGCCAUGUAAUACAUUAUAUUAUUUUAAUUUUGAAGCUUAACUACAUAUAUUACAUA